rnacentral:lncRNA from 1 species
GCUAAGAUGUCAAAGAACAUAUGUAUGAACUAUUUAAUCGCCGAAAAUCUCUAAAGACAAGUAGUUUAGAUUUCCCAAAUGGCAAAAGUCGUAGGAAUAUUGUUUGUCGUUAAUACGUAGUCAACUACGUCAGCUGUUGGCGGCAAUUUUAAAUUAGAAGAAGAAAUUUUUGUAUCUUUUCAAUUUGGAGGCAGUGGUUCAAAUUAGCGGUGAACCGAGGUUUGCGACCUUCCACUUUUGCAGUCGGACUUGCGACUUGAUUACUAGCUACGCCCGACAUGCCCAAAGGACCUUCCACUUGAAAAAAAUAAAAUAAUAACUUUGCAAACCUUUUUACCAAAGUCUCCUAAUAAACGAUCUCAAAACUUAUUUUCAUCAUUAUUAUUCAUGACAGCGAUGUUCGUUUUGUUCAACCGCUAGCUUUAUACAGAAAAUCGCCGACAAAUAAUGUGUAAAUUCGAGUAAAAUCGUAUCGGACUAAAA